rnacentral:ncRNA from 1 species
GAAAAGUUUGAUUCUUUCUUAGAUUUUUGCGUGUUUAAAAUUAAAUCUGAAUGAAAAUAGUAGUGAGUGUAAGACAAGAAGUUCCAUACUAGUUGCUAGAAGACUAUAAAUUAAUAUAAAUAAUAAAAAAAACGUUCAACAUAAAAUAUUAAUUAAUCUCCUAGAGGAGGAUUUAGUAAAUUGUCUAAACCUGAUUAAAUAUUGUGCCAGCAGUCGCGGUUAAACUUUAAGGUUAAGUAAAAAAAAAUUAGCAAAAGUUAGGCAAAAUAUUAGCAAGAGUUGGUUUUAAAGUAAAUGGGUAAAAUUAGAAAUAUUUUUGAAAUAAAUAAAGCAGAUAAAUACUGAAACUUAAUUAUUCAGGUUUAAACCAGGAUUAGAUACCCUGUUAUACUGAAGUGGUUUAAUUACAAGCUUAAGUAUUUAUAGUUAUUUUCUUAAAAUUUGAAGAAUUUGGCGGUAAUUUAGUCUUGUUAGAGGAGUCUGUUUUUUAAUCGAUAAACCGCGUUUUAUCUUACUUCUUUUUGUUAACCAGCUUAUAUACCGUCAUUAACAAAUAAUUUUUACAAAAAUUUAUUAAGCAUUGUAGUAACAAUUAAAAUUAGAUCAAGGUGUAGCUUAUAAAGAAGUUUAAAUGGAUUACAAUAAAACUUAUUUAACACGGAUUAGUAUUAAAUGAAAUAGAUAUAAAGGAGGAUUUAAUUGUAUAAUAAAGUAUAGUAUACUUAUUAGAUAUAAGCUAUAAAUUGUGUACAUAUCGCCCGUCGCUCUCUUUAUCAAAUUGAGAUAAGUCGUAACACAGUAGUUUUACUGGAAAGUAAAAUUAGUUUAAUAAUUUAUUAAUAAAACUUAUUUAUAAUAAUAUAUUCUAAGAAAAACCUUUUAAAUCCUAAGUAAAGUGUAUUAAAAUGUUGAAUUUUUAAAAAAAAAAUUAUAGUGAACAAGUACUGCGAGGGAAAGAGUCAACCAAAGUAAUUAAAUUAAUAGUAUAUCUAAAUAAUUAUACCUUUUGUAUCAGGGAUUAUCUAAAUAAAUUAAAAAUGAAUAAAAAU